rnacentral:rRNA from 1 species
UAUGUUCUUGAAAAUUAAAAAAUUUGGCGGUAUUUUAGUCAAUUCAGAGGAACCUGUCUUGUGAUUGAUAGUCCACGAUAAGAUAUACUUAUUUUUUUAGUUUGUAUAUCGUUGUUUAGAAUUUCUUUAUUGGGAUAAUUUUCAAUUGUUUUAAAUUAAAUUAAUUUCAGAUCAAGGUGCAGCUUAUAGAUAAGAAUUGAUGGGUUACAAUUUAGAUAUAUUUGGUUAUUUAUUUUAAAUUUUAAAUAUAAAUGGGAUUUGAUUGUAAUUAAAGAAAUUUUUCUUUAAUGAUCAUUGUUCUGAAAUAUGUACAUAUUGCCCGUCGCUCUCAUAAUAUUUGAGAUAAGUCGUAACAAAGUAGAUGUACUGGAAAGUGUAUCUAGAAAUAUCAAAUUAAAGCUUUAUAGAAAGCUUUUUAUUUACAUUAAGAUGAUUACUGUGCAAUUCAGUAUAAUUUGAAGUAUAAUUAGUUAUUUUUAGUUUUUAAUAGAAGAAACUUUUUUUUAUUAUAUAAAUAGAAAAAUUAUUUUUAAUUAUAGUUAAUUAGUAAAGUGAUUGAAAUUAAAUAAUAUUUUUAAAAGAAAAAUUUAUUUUUUGUACCUUGUGCAUCAGGGCUGAUUUAUAAGAAUUUAUAUAAGUAUAAUUUUCUCGAAUUUUAAAGAGUUAAUUAAUUAUUUAUUUAAAUGUAAAAUAAUUUUUUAAAAUAAUUAAUUUGAAGUGAAACGCUAUUCGAUUUUUAAGAUAUCUAGUUUUUUAAGAAAAGAAUUUAAUUCUAUUAUUAUUUAUUUAAAUUUUAAUUUUUAAAAUUUAAGUUUUAAUAUUAAAAAUUUAAUGGGAUGAUCUUUUAAUUUUAAAAUUAAAAAUUUUUAGAAUUUAAUUUUUUGUAUAAUUUGAAUUGUUAAUCAUAAAUAAUUUUAUAGUUAGGUAUUUAUAAAUUAAGAUUUAAAUUGUUUUAAUUUUUAUAUUAAAAAGAAAUGUUUAAUUUUUAACUUUUGAAAUAAUGAUUAGAUUAGUAAUAUAUAAUUUUAUUUUAUUAAAUGUUCAUAAGGUUAGAAAAAGGAAUUCGGCAAAAAAUUUUUCGCCUGUUUAAUAAAAACAUGUCCUUUUGAAGAUGAUUUAAGGUCUAAUCUGCUCAAUGAAUUAUUAAAUAGCCGCAGUAUUUUAACUGUGCGAAGGUAGCGUGAUAAUUAGUUUCUUAAUUAGAAACUUGUAUGAAUGAUUUGACAAGAAAAUUUCUGUCUCUUUCUAAUUAUUUAUUAAUUUAACUUUUAGGUUAAAAGGCUUAAAUAUUUAUAAAAGACGAGAAGACCCCAUAGAGUUUAAUUUUUUAUUUUGUUUUAGUAUAAUUUUUAUAUUUAAAAAAAAUUAGUUGGGGUAACUUAAAGAUAUAAUAAAUUCUUUAAAUAUAAAAUCAUUGAUUUAUGAAUUUGAAAUCUAAAUUAUUAAAUUUAAAUAAAGUUACCUUGGGGAUAACAGCGUAAUUUCUUUUUAGAGUUCUUAUCAAAUAAGAAGAUUGCGACCUCGAUGUUGGAUUAAAAUAAAGUUUAGGUGUAGAAGCUUAAAUAUUAAGUCUGUUCGAC